AGUAUGCAGUCCCAUACCACCACCAGUUGGAGACGGACGAUCUAGGCAGGAGAUAGAUCGGUGUGGAACAAAACCCCUUCCCGGGUUCCAAACCUCUCUCUAGAGCUCUAGGUCAAAAUCCUUCCGUUUCUCACAAAACUUGGAAGAAGGGGAAGCAACAACUGUUAACAUUUUAAAUCUACACCUUCACCUAUUUGUCUAGAAAACACUAUGCGAAGCCGCCAAUUCCUUACAUCGAAAGCGUCACGGACAUUACAUUAAAAGCCUCGGACUCCGCACUGACCUGACAGGCCGAGACAUGUUCGCUGUCGAAACAGGACCGAGUCGAGAAGCCAAAGACCAGGACCCCCCCCACCCCGCGCGCUCGGCGCCCCACCCCCCCCAACUUCGGCCGAUGGGGCCGCUGCCGCCGAACCCCGGGCUGCUGGCUUCUCAAACUCCGCUGCUUCUUGGUUCAGGGCCCCUUAAUCAGACGAGCCCCCCGCUCCCCCGUCUCUUCAAAAUGGAUGAAUCAAACCAGCCGAAAAUGCGCCAAAGCCGCGCUGCAACCAAACCCACUAGGGCCUGUGGGCUCCGCCCCGUCACGCCCGGUCAUUGGCGGCUUCUGCCAGAUGCGCGGAGCUCAUUAGUCCGUUUGAAUCAUCACGUCUCCCAGACCCCGCCCCGUGCACUGGUAGGCCCCGCCUCCUCCGUGGGGUCCUGUUAGUCAAGAUGCUCUGAGAGUGCACGGCCGCAAAACAAAAAUGGUCGCUGCUUGGCCCGCCCCCUGGUUUUCACUCCAGGAUUGCAGAUUCGUUUUAGGUCGCAUCUUGGAACGACUAGAAAAAAAGAUUUAUAUGGGAUUCAAUGUCAUUUAGUGGUAGUUUAAUGAUGUUUCAUGUCGCCUGCUUUGAUCAUCUAGAAACUGCACUAAUAGCAAAACCCGUGGGCUAGGUAGCUGAUUCGUCACUAAGGGGCUGCUUCAGAAUUGGAGGGAAAUUCCAUAGGUUCAAAAUUUUUGACCUUAAACGCACAAACCCCCUUCCCCUGACUUCAGCAUUAGCCCUCCGGGGUCCAAACGCUGUUGGAGCAGAGAGGCAGGAUCUUAAUCAAGGAAUAACUUGACUCCCAAUUUCUAUUCUCCAUUCUGGACCUUGAGAUCCAUUUCAGGGUCAUUAGAGUCCUGGUCUCCGACAUUACUUUAGGGUCUUAAUGAUUAGAAGCAUGAGCUCUGGGGCCACAACGUGUUUCGGUUUGAACCUCAGAUCCACAACUUAGUAGUUGUAUAACUUUACCUCAUUGUGCCUCAGUUUUCUCAUGUGUAAAAUGGGGAACAAAGAUGCUUAACCUCAUAGGGUUAUCAGGAUUAAAUGAGUUAAUAUAUGAAAAGCCCCUGGGACAGUCACCCACGCACAGUAAGCAGUAUCUAAGUGUUUGUUAAAAUUCAAUUUUUGAAAGGUGACCUUAUCCCUGGGUAAGAGUGGAUGAGGUUGGCUGAAGACUCCAGACAAGCCACUGAGGGUAACUCCGAUCAUUCCAUUUAAAUUCAUAAAUAUUUGUUGGAUGCCUAAAAUUCUCAGAAGUAGAGCUCAGAAUUCCUACGAGAAUGAGUAGGGUUUACUUCACCAUGGUAAAAAAGAUUUCAAUGCCUGCCACAGGCAGCCUGUUAAUAACCAACUGAAGAUACACUUUAUAAACAAACAAACCAACCUACCACUGUCUCCCUCGUGAAAGUCUCCCCUUAUAUAAAAUCUGGCUUCUCUAAGGGAGAAUGGCACAGCUCACCAGUGAAGCAUUAAACAAGUUAUCUUCCCUCUUUAGCCUGUCACUCCACCCUUUCUUCCCUGAGUGUGUGUGUGUGUGUGUAUAGUAAAAAAGUACAAGCAUAAAAUUCAUUAUUUUAACUGUU